AAGCGAUUCAGCGGGUUACGAUUGACGGAGCGAAGCGACGUCAAAGCGUAUACAAAGUCGAGUCGGUUUAAGGAUACGUUCGUUGGGUAGGGGAGCGUUCUGUAAGCCCGUGAAGGUGGCCUGUGAGAGUUGCUGGAGGUAUCAGAAGUGCGAAUGCUGACAUAAGUAACGAUAAAGCGGGUGAAAAGCCCGCUCGCCGGAAGACCAAGGGUUCCUGUCCAACGUUAAUCGGGGCAGGGUGAGUCGACCCCUAAG
rnacentral:rRNA from 1 species